rnacentral:rRNA from 1 species
ACAGCAGUAGCCGCGGUAAUACGAAGGGGGCUAGCGUUGUUCGGAUUUACUGGGCGUAAAGCGUACGUAGGCGGACUUUUAAGUCAGGGGUGAAAUCCCGGGGCUCAACCCCGGAACUGCCUUUGAUACUGGAAGUCUUGAGUAUGGUAGAGGUGAGUGGAAUUCCGAGUGUAGAGGUGAAAUUCGUAGAUAUUCGGAGGAACACCAGUGGCGAAGGCGGCUCACUGGACCAUUACUGACGCUGAGGUGCGAAAGCGUGGGGAGCAAACAGGAUUAGAUACCCCUGUAGUCCCUGUCUCUUAUAC